rnacentral:ncRNA from 1 species
GGUAUGCCUCCGCUAUCGCCAUACAGGCGGAGAUUGCAAAACACUUAUAGGUGCUGCGGCCAAAAGCCGUGGUAUUGAGCGUAUAAAAAAAGAUAGUAGAGAAACUAUCAG